rnacentral:rRNA from 1 species
ACGGGAGUAGCAAUACAACUGGUGGCGACCGGCGCGACGGGUGAGUAACGCGUAUGCAACCUACCUAUCAGAGGGGAAUAACCCGGCGAAAGUCGGACUAAUACCGCAUAAAACAGGGGCACCGCAUGGUGAUAUUUGUUAAAGAAAUUCGCUGAUAGAUGGGCAUGCGUUCCAUUAGGUAGUUGGUGAGGUAACGGCUCACCAAGCCGACGAUGGAUAGGGGAACUGAGAGGUUGGUCCCCCACACUGGUACUGGGACACGGACCAGACUCCUACGGGAGGCAGCAGUGAGGAAUAUUGGUCAAUGGGCGGGAGCCUGAACCAGCCAAGUCGCGUGAAGGGAAAAGAAGGAUCUAUGGUUCGUAAACUUCUUUUGCAGGGGAAUAAAGUGCAGGACGUGUCCUGUUUUGUAUGUACCCUGAGAAUAAGGAUCGGCUAACUCCGUGCCAGCAGCAGC